GAUGAACGCUGGCGGCGUGCCUAAUACAUGCAAGUCGAGCGAACGGACGAGAAGCUUGCUUUUCUGAUGUUAGCGGCGGACGGGUGAGUAACACGUGGAUAACCUACCUAUAAGACUGGGAUAACUUCGGGAAACCGGAGCUAAUACCGGAUAAUAUUUUGAACCGCAUGGUUCAAAAGUGAAAGACGGUCUUGCUGUCACUUAUAGAUGGAUCCGCGCUGCAUUAGCUAGUUGGUAAGGUAACGGCUUACCAAGGCAACGAUGCAUAGCCGACCUGAGAGGGUGAUCGGCCACACUGGAACUGAGACACGGUCCAGACUCCUACGGGAGGCAGCAGUAGGGAAUCUUCCGCAAUGGGCGAAAGCCUGACGGAGCAACGCCGCGUGAGUGAUGAAGGUCUUCGGAUCGUAAAACUCUGUUAUUAGGGAAGAACAUAUGUGUAAGUAACUGUGCACAUCUUGACGGUACCUGAUCAGAAAGCCACGGCUAACUACGUG
rnacentral:rRNA from 1 species